rnacentral:lncRNA from 1 species
CUUAAUGCAAAAGAAAGGCUCGACACAGACACACCUGUAGAGAGAAGAAAAAAAUGGCAGAGAGGAGGGGCUUUAAGCUAUAUCUAUAAUGGUUUCUGUCUUAUCCUGGGUGGUGGGAGCCCAGAUGCCCACUGUAUUAAAUAUUAUCCUCUCUACUGUUUUUUUUGCUAUGUCAAAAUAUUUCAUAAUUUAAAAAGGAGGAACAUAAAAUAAAAUACAAAGCAUGAUAGAAAACAAGCAGAGCUACUUGUAAAUACCAGAGACUGGGCCCACCAGGAAGGAAAUGGAGAGGGUGCUCCUGGAUGACUGACCCCACCUCA